AUGAGUCACGAUCUGGGCCUGGAGUUAAGGAGGGAAGCGCCGCCUCUUCUUGGGCCCCUUCUCUCCCCCUUUCCCCUCCCAUCUGGCUCCUGGCGCAGCCAGAUGCUGCGCAGCAAUCACCGAUUCCCCAUCACCAAUUCGGCUGGGGCGCUCCGCAAGGCCGCAGGCAAGAUGAACAUUCUGGCGCCGGUGCGGAGGGACCGCGUCCUGGCGGAGCUCCCCCAGUGCCUGAGGAAGGAGGCCGCUUUGCACGGGCACAAAGACUUCCACCCCCGGGUCACCUGCGCUUGCCUGGAGCACCGGACAGGCACCGUGGGCAGAUUUAAGAUCUCCAAGGUCAUUGUGGUUGGGGACCUGUCAGUGGGGAAGACUUGUCUCAUUAAUAGGUUCUGCAAAGAUACCUUUGAUAAGAAUUAUAAGGCCACCAUCGGAGUGGACUUUGAAAUGGAACGAUUUGAGGUGUUGGGUGUCCCCUUCAGUCUGCAACUCUGGGAUACUGCUGGACAGGAGAGGUUCAAAUGCAUUGCAUCCACCUACUACCGUGGAGCUCAAGCCAUCAUUAUUGUCUUCAACCUGAAUGAUGUGGCCUCCCUGGAACAUACCAAGCAGUGGCUGGCUGACGCUCUCAAGGAGAAUGACCCUUCCAGUGUACUUCUCUUCCUUGUGGGUUCCAAGAAGGACUUGAGUAGUCCUGCUCAGUAUGUGCUAAUGGAGAAAGAUGCACUGAAAGUAGCCCAAGAGAUGAAGGCUGAGUACUGGGCAGUCUCAUCUCUCACUGCACCCGUGUGCUCUUUGUGGCAGGUGAAAAUGUCCGGGAAUUCUUCUUCCGUGUGGCAGCACUGACCUUUGAGGCUAAUGUUCUGGCUGAGCUGGAGAAAUCGGGGGCCCGGCGCAUUGGAGAUGUUGUCCGCAUCAACAGUGAUGACAGCAACCUCUAUCUAACUGCCAACAAGAAGAAACCCACCUGUUGCCCAUGAGACCUGAGAGGAUUGUCUGGCGAUUCCCCAGGCUUGGGCCACUGAGCUACCUUGACUUGCCCAGAGCUCAACCCUUGGACAUUUGCACUGAGUCUUUUUUCCAGACCAAAGAGCUGCCUCUAGUGGCAGUACCCCAGAAGGCUCACAGGACCAUGCUAGUCACCCUGCCAAAGACUGGACCCCCUCCCCCCCUGCAGCUCUCCCUUCUCCAAGGUGCCUUUCAGUGGGGAAGCUCUUGGGUAUGAGGAUACUUAAUGAUUCCAGCCUCACACAGUGCCUUAUGCAUUAAAAUCUCUUAUUAGCAGUUUGGGGGCUGGAGUCCUUUGUUGAUGUGAGUUGUAGAAUAGGUAGUGCUAUCUGGUUGUCUUGGGAGUGGAGUCUCCAGCUGGAAUCCUGAUCAGCCUUGGCCCCUGGGUAGGGCAUAUACAGGCUAGCAGCGGGGACCAACUGUUUUUCUUGGGGGUGGGGUGGGCUGCUACACUGGACCCUCAGUGGGUGACCUCUGACUAUUGACUCUGAAAGCACUUUGGUCCUUUCUGCCAUCGGGUAUUUUUUUUUUUUACUUUUUUUCUAACUUCGCUUGAGAUGCAUCUUUGGAUGCUUUUUGGACUAAUCAAAAGGCUCAGAGAGGCCAUGAACCAAGCUCUUACCAGAUGUGGUACUAACAUCUAACCAUAUUAGUAAACAUAAAAUUGAGUAGUAGCCUUUUGCAUUGUAAAAUGAUUAAAGAACUACAU